rnacentral:rRNA from 1 species
AGGACGAACGCUGGCGGCGUGCUUAACACAUGCAAGUCGAGCGGUAAGGCCUUUCGGGGUACACGAGCGGCGAACGGGUGAGUAACACGUGGGUGAUCUGCCCUGCACUUCGGGAUAAGCCUGGGAAACUGGGUCUAAUACCGGAUAUGACCUCAGGUUGCAUGACUUGGGGUGGAAAGAUUUAUCGGUGCAGGAUGGGCCCGCGGCCUAUCAGCUUGUUGGUGGGUAAUGGCCUACCAAGGCGACGACGGGUAGCCGACCUGAGGAGGGUGACCGCCGACACUGGGACUGAGACACGGCCCAGACUCCGUACGGGACGGCAGCGAGGUGGGGAAUAGUUGCACGAGUGGGACGAAACGC